GAGGGUGUAGCUCAGUGGUAGAGCUCAUGCUUAGCAUGCACGAGGUCCUGAGUUCAGUCCCCAGCACCUCCA
rnacentral:tRNA from 1 species